UAUUUUUGAUAUCAUUUUUCAUCUCAUUUCAUCUCAAUUCAUCUCAUCAUUUCAUCUCCUCAUCUCAUCAUUUCCUCCUUUCAUUACAACAUUUCAUCUCAUUUCUUCUCAUCUCAUUUCAAUUUCAUUAUUUCAUCUCAUUUCAUUAUUUCACCUAAUUUCAUUAUUUCAUCUCAUCUCAUCUCAGUUCAUCUGAUCUCAUUUCAUCUCAGCAUUUCAUCUCAUCAUUUUUCAUCUCAUCAUUUUUCAUCUCAUCAUUUAAUCUCAUUUCAUUUCAUUUGAUCUCAUUUCAUUUGAUCUCAUCAUUUCAGCUCAUUUCAAGUCACAUCUAUUCAUUUCAUCAUUUCAUUUCAACAUUUCAUCAUUUCAUCGCAUCAUUUCAUCUCAUCUUUCACUUUCAUUUCAAUAUCAUUUCAUCAUUUCAUUUCAUCUCAUUUCAUUAUUUCAUUAUUUCAUUUCAUUUCAUCUCAUCAUUUCAUCUCAUCAUUUUUCAUCUCAUCAUUUUUCAUCUCAUCAUUUUUCAUCUCAUCAUCUCAUCUCAUCAUUUCAUCUCAUUUCUUCUCAUCAUUUCAUCUCAUCAUUUUAUCUCAUUUCAUCUCAUCUCAUUUCAAUUUCAUUAUUUCAUUUCAUUUCACUUCAU
rnacentral:lncRNA from 1 species